CGAUAGUGAACCAGUACCGUGAGGGAAAGGCGAAAAGAACCCCGGCGAGGGGAGUGAAAAAGAACCUGAAACCGUGUACGUACAAGCAGUGGGAGCCCCACCACUAAGCCAGUGGUGAACUCCACAUACGCAUCCUUUGCUGAGGAUACGGUUAACGGAGCGAAAGCGACGUUCAACCUCAAAAGAAGCAGAGGGGGCUUAGUGGUGGGGUGACUGCGUACCUUUUGUAUAAUGGGUCAGCGACUUAUAUUCUGUAGCAAGGUUAACCGAAUAGGGGAGCCGUAGGGAAACCGAGUCUUAAUUGGGCGUUAAGUUGCAGGGUAUAGACCCGAAACCCGGUGAUCUAGCCAUGGGCAGGUUGAAGGUUGGGUAACACUAA
rnacentral:rRNA from 1 species